CGCCCGGAGCACGCUGAUGCCG
rnacentral:siRNA from 1 species